rnacentral:lncRNA from 1 species
GUGGUGGCGCAUGCCUUUGAUCCCAGCACUCGGGAGGCAGAGGCAGGUGGAUUUCUUAGUUUGAGGCCAGCCUGGUCUACAGAGUGAGCUCCAGGACAGCCAGGGCUACACAGAGAAACCCUGUCUCGAAAAAUCAAAAAAAAAAAAAAAGUUAUUGAGGAUUACUGUCUCUGUUUGUCUUGUAGUCAAAUGGUGUUGCACAUGGAUUUCAAUCUUAUAGUGCCGGUGUUAUGUUAGUUCAGUAGGUAAAGGUGCUUGCUGCUGAGGCAGAUGACCUGAAUUUGAUUUUCAUUGUUGCAUGACAAUGGACUUAUAGGAGAGAAUGGACUUCUGCUGGCUGUCUUAUUCUCCAUAUAAAUGCUGCAGCAUACACAUGCACACAAACACAAUGAAUAAAAUUGAUGCUUACCAUAUAUUGAGGAAUGAUUAUUAUCUAUCUGGUUACCCAUAGAUAGAAGAAGAUGUGUGUCUGUCUCAUCCUCCCCCCGCCCAACAUAUAUAUAAAGAUACUCUUUUACAGGAGGCUCUGAAGAUUAUACAUGGUUACAGAAGAAGUAAAUUCUGAACCUGUCUUUUUAAAGAUUUAUUUGUUUUAUGCAUGAGUACACUGUAGCUGUUCUUGGACACACCAGAAGAGGGCAUCAGAUCCCAUUUCAGAUGGUUGUGAGCCACCAUGUGGUUGCUGGGGAUUGAACUCAGGACCCUCUGACAGAGCAGUCAGUUCCUGUUCCCUGAGCCAUCUCUCCAGCACCCAAGUCUUUUUUAAUCAGAAGUGUUAAUCUGGUUUUGUUGUUGUUGGGUGGGUUUUUUUUUUGUGUGUGUAAAGGAGAAUUUCAUACAGUCUCUAGAUAUUUCCGAAUAAAAAGAUAGAUAGCAAUUAGUUUAUAUUUUUUGUUGAUUUUGCUUGCUUGUUUUGAGUCUCUGUAUAGCCCUGGCUUACUUGAAACUCGCAGAGAUCUGACUGCUUCCCUUGCAUUCUGGCAUUCUGCAAAUAAAGGAGUGUGCAACCAUGCCCAGCAUAUUUUUAGUUUAGUUUAGGACUAAAUUCUAAGCCUUUGAGUCUCUCUUGCCACACCCACUCCAGUGAAGUCUGCGUGGGAAGUCCAAAAGCUUGGCCACAGUCCUGAGGCAAACAGUUUCACGGAAACUUGUCUCCUGGAGAAUCUCUGGUGCCCUAUAACCAGAUUUGUCCCUGCAAUAGUGUUGAGGGUCUUGCAUGCUUUCUUGCAGUAUUUUACUGGAUAGGAGCUAGAAAUCUCAGGGCUAGUUCAAAAUAGUAAACUUAGAAUUCUCAUUACAGACAUGAGUGGUAGACUAUAUUACAUAAUAGUAGAAAGAAGGUGGGUUGUGGUUUAAGGAGGAACUGGAGUAUUCUUUAUUCAUGAAAGGGUUAGUAGACCGGUCAGUAGACUGGAACUUCCCUGGUUCAUGUUUUUCACUAGGCCCAGAGGAAUAGCAUAAUUAGGUAUUUACUAAGAGACCCUUAGAGGUGGGUUUAACAAUAGACUAGAAUUGCACCUGGACAUAUUAGCCCUUUCACCUGGCUCCCGUGAAUAGCUGACUUUAGAUAGGGCUGAUCUUAUCUCAGUUGUAAACACUGCCUAGAUCCUGCCAGUCUUUACGUAUGCAUUUCUCUGUUUUGUGUUAUUAUGCAUAAAAUAACUUCAAUGUACCUUGGCUGAUGUGUCACCUAGUUUCUUCAUUUUUCUUCUGUAGUAUAAGUCUGAUGCUUGCUUUGAGAAAUUACAUUCAGAUACAGCACUCUCUGUGUGUCAGUGUCUGUUGGUCACUUUUUGCCAACUCCUUGCCCACCUGAGUACCGAGAUCCUGGUUCCCCGCAGGUUGAGAGGCUGACUGAGUCCAGUUCACGGCACUCUCUGAUAUUUUCUACACUAAGGUUAUGUUUGAUUUACUGCUGUAUUCUUCUUAGUAUCUAGUGUAUAGUUUUAUAUAUUUUUUAAAUUAAGAAUGAAUUACCUUCAGUUAACCUUAGCCUCUUUGGAAAUGAGGAGGUAAAAUAUUUUUUCAGUAUCCUGUUCUCUUUUGACAUUUUCAUGCCACUUUCAAGUUGGGGAAAAUGUUAGCAGGUUUCCUUACAUAUGAUGCAUAUUAUUCUAGGCAGGAAGGAUGAGGAAAAAAUUUAUGGAGGUACAUGAGUGAAGCCUGAUCUCAACACGUCCCCCCCCCCCCC